rnacentral:rRNA from 1 species
AUUGAACGCUGGCGGCAGGCCUAACACAUGCAAGUCGAGCGGAUGAAGGGAGCUUGCUCCUGGAUUCAGCGGCGGACGGGUAAGUAAUGCCUAGGAAUCUGCCUGGUAGUGGGGGAUAACUUCCGGAAACGGUCGCUAAUACCGCAUACGUCCUGAGGGAGAAAGUGUGGGAUCUUCGGACCUCACGCUAUCAGAUGAGCCUAGGUCGGAUUAGCUAGUUGGUGGGGUAAAGGCCUACCAAGGCGACGAUCCGUAACUGGUCUGAGAGGAUGAUCAGUCACACUGGAACUGAGACACGGUCCAGACUCCUACGGGAGGCAGCAGUGGGGAAUAUUGGACAAUGGGCGAAAGCAUGAUCCAGCCAUGACGCGUGUGUGAAGAAGGUCUUCGGAUUGUAAUGCACUUUAAGUUGGGAGGAAGGGCAGUAAGUUAAUACCUUGCUGUGUUGACGUUACCAACAGAAUAAGCACCGGCUAACUUCGUG